CUGGUCCCCGCCUGGUCAGGUCCUUACAGGCUCCUGACUCCUCCCUGCCUCAGUUUCCUGACCCACUGAGUGAGUGCCACCAUCUGUUUUCCAGAUGGACUUUAGAAGCUACGGAUCUGCACCCAGAUGGAGAGAUGGAGUCAGCAGUGGCCACCCAGCCCACAUGACAAAUCUGUGAUAGCCUGGGCUAUCACGUGGCUUUCUG
rnacentral:lncRNA from 1 species